rnacentral:tRNA from 4 species
GCACCCCUAGCUCAACUGGAUAGAGCAUCGGACUACGAAUCCGAAGGUUAGAGGUUCGAAUCCUCUGGGGUGUAC